GCUGAAAGUUUUGGGGCUAUGAGGCUCAGGCAGGGACCCAGGAGGUGCUGAUUCCUAUGGAGUACCUAGCCUUAAGAGAGCUACUUUAAUUCAUUGGGGAGCUGAAGGCAACUGGGAUAGCUGAAAGAGGGCAGUGAGUGAGGUGUGCCUAAGGACUGGGGGGAGAAAGGAAGAAGUCAGGGGAAAGGUCAGCGUUAUUUAGGUCAUUGGCUAAACUGGCCCCAGUGCAGGUUAUUUUUAAAAGAAGUGCUAGGCAUGAAAAUUUUCUGUGAUAGUUAUACAUUCCACAUCUUGGAGGGGAUGCAACUGAGACAUACUUCUUAAUGCUAAAUGAAUACUGUCCCGGUGCUGACUGAAGCAGAAGAUAUCCGAGACACUCCCCAGCUGGUAGCUGUGUUUGCUGGGGUUUUGCCACCGCACAGGAUUAACGGGAGCUGUCAAUGCGGGAAUCGUCCAUGGUGGAAGGAGAUGGAAGCCUGCUCCUCAGCAGCUAUUUGGACAAAGAACCACACUUUCUGUCUUCUCCUUCAGCCUGCUGUGCACCUUCUCCUCUCAUCUCACACACUGGAUCCAAACAUCUAACAUCCACACUUUGACUGUAGCUGGAGUUCCUUCGGGUAGAAAUAAGUGAACGGAAGGCAGUCACCCAUCGGGUCCUUCACUCACUAAGGUCAGCCUACUUCCUGGCAGGCUCGCAGUGCUCCAGAAGAAGUAGGACAUUGAAGGGGAGAAAAAAAACAUCAAAUAGGAUAGUUUCAUCAGUCCUCAACUCUCUCCCACCAGAAAGGCCAGCAACAAUGGUUCCUCUGCCCCAAACUCUGCUUCCUCGUGUAUCAUUUGGGACCUCUGUGGUUUCUGCUGCAGUUAGGGCACAAAAAGGGUGCUCCUGCAGAGAGCACUAGGAUAGUCCUCAGGAGCCACAGGAGAAGACGGAUGGCUGCUCUGGGGGUUAUGGUCCAGUAGGACCAGGAGUAGGGGAUGGUCUCAGAGGCCAAAAUAGUGAGACAGGUGUUUUCAGCAGCUGCUGCAGUGAGUAGCAGAGAGGAAGGCGGUGACCUGGCUGCCAGCAAGACCCCGCUUCCAGUACAGCACCGUGGUGUCAGCUGUGGGUCUGUUUAAAAUGGGGAUUUUACUGCUGUGGGACGGGGGGAGGAAUCACCAGGACGGAUGGAGAGCAAACAAGAAAAAACCAAAACAAGCAGGGGAAAUUGAGGCACACGACCCGCCUCAGCUCCUUGCAGAGGGCAAAGAGCAGUGGAGAGCCCAAAAACAGGGAGAAGGAGCAGGGAGGAGGAAGAAGCAGGGUCUAUGGGCACUGGUCCUGCCAGUUCUGCUUAUGGGCUCAGUGUUGCUUCCCUCUGCUGUGCUACCUCCCCUUCCUGCCCAAUGUGAGGGCACCCAACUGCCCAGAACAGACGGGAGUUACCAACUACCGCCUUUCAUGCCGGAGGCACAAUCCAGGCAAGGAUUGUUUUCUUCCCAGUACGUCUGCCGUGCUAGACUUGAAUUCACCUUGUCAAAGAGCAGGCACCUGCCAUUUCUUGAGAAAAAAAACGUGGCCCCUGCUAUGGUCCCUGGGGACUGGCGGAGACAAACACUGCAGCAGCUUGCUGGGGCACUCACUGUUACGGGGAUAAAACAGAGCGGCGGGGGCCUAUUGAUGCCCGAUAGAAACAAUAGAAACCAACUGCUGCGGUGAGAAAGCGGCCAUUUGCCGUGCCAGCUGCAGCCAGGGACGGCAGAGGGAAGGGAUGGGAGAGCAUGCCUGGGUCGGGGUGCUGCAGCAUUACUGCCCAUCCUCCAGCCCCACCGUGUCCUGGUGUGAUGCCCCUAUUUUGCUGCCUUUCAGUGUUUACUAGAUGGGGAGAGAAAUGAGAAAAGGAAAACAAUGAAUGAUGUUGCCUGUCUUUGUGUAUAUACCCCCUGGAAGCUGUGCUGGUAUCAGUGAUGCUUGCUCCAGACGGAACGUCCCGGGGAGGCAUCUGGAAGCUGGUGCCCAGUCUGUGUUGUCCUGCAUGUCCAUUUUAGCUUCCUGUGCCGUCACUCAAUCCACUUUCUUUCUGGAAAUCUGAUUUUCUCUCUAAAUUUUACACUGCUGUGGACUUUCUUUUCUUUGAGGGAGUUGGUGUGGGCUUGUCAGAUCAAAAGUAAGGCAGUCACUUUCUAGGCUGUAGCUCUGGUUGUGGAUAAUGGCUCGGUGACUCUGAGAAGAGUCCAUGUGAGCGGCUAGCAGGGCCAUGGCCUGCCUGCCCUUGUCUCUGCAGCAGGCUUUGUGUAUGAUGCUAAACCCUCACUCUCUGUCUUGCUAUAAGUGGAGCUCUCAGACUUCCAAAAGAAAUCCCAUUCAUUUCAUUUGGGACAUUAGUGCCACAGGCUGCGUAGGAUUGCAUCUCUGUUGGAGAAUGACGUCAAGUCCAGGGCACAUGUACAGCAGAGUGCACUUUUUGGCUCGGGCUUGCCAAGCUGCCAUGCAAAUUCUGCUUUAGGCAGCCGUCAGUGAAAUCUGCAGAUCCAUGUUUUUCCCCAAAGCUUUACAUCCUUAAGCUUCAAGCCUUUCUCAGGAUUCUCUAACUAGAUCUGUUUCUGCUGUGGAGCAGCGACAGGAGCAUGUGGGCACUGCUGUUCCUCAGCUGUUUAGCCACAAUAAUUAGGUGUUUUAAGGGAUGGAGGAUCAAUAGGGAGUUCCAUGCAUUGUCACACACCACCGAACACUGCUGAGAUACUGUUGCAAAAUUAAAGUGAGUACCAAAAGACUGAAAACCAUGAAAAUAAGGGAAAAUUUAAGAUUUGGAGGUUUGGUCCUUUCAACAGGUAUUACUACAUAAGAUUCUCAGAGAACUAUAAAAAGUGGACAAUGGUCCAUUCUGCUCAUAGCUGUGGCCAGCCUCCAUUGUGAAAGGUGAAAAAACAUACUAGAAACCAUGCUGUAUGUCAAAAGAUGGGGAUAAUUGAGAAAACAGAGUUUCUUCUGGCAUGUGGUGACCAGCAGAUCUGUGAAGUAUGGGGAUAAUACCCUGUAACUGGUGCAGCUCACAGGUAGGUGAUGGUCUCCUUCCAAAUACCUUUGGAGACCUCAUCACAUCAGGGAUCAAAGGAUUCAGCUCAAAAGCUCAAUUUCCUUUUAUACCAUCCCUUCCAUAAACUUAUGGGGCAAACUAAACGAGAGAAGAGGAAUGUAGGUGAGAGAAUGGGUUAUAUCAGAAGUAGCUGGGGAAAAAUAACGACAAAAACUUUCAGACACAUCAGCAUUUCUCCUGAUGUCUUCCCCUGUGCUGUGGUGUGGUACACAGUGUAUAUAGUUGGGGGGGAAAACAAAACCAGAACCACAAACUCCACGAUACCAGCUCCUACAGUAGCUGUUCUGUAAGGCUUAUUGCUAGGUAAGAGCAUUGACUUUGUGGAGGGAAAUCCUGCAGCCCACUCUACAGAAGCAUACAUGGGGCUGAGAAGUGGGUGAGGAACUCACAGCAAGCAUGUCAUGCACCUAGUUUUGUGGUAAAAACUGGAAGAAAAGCAAGCAGUAUAGCUGAUAGGCUGGAGAAAAUGAUUUAUUGGUUGCACCUUUGUUACUCUGUGUACAGUGUUACAGGGAGAAAUGAGUAGACAUCAAAAUUAUCUUACUGGCUAUUUACAUAUUUGUACACAGAUUUCAUACAAGAGUUUCCUAUAGGGCAUAUAUACAUGAGAAAUGUGACUUUGAAGUUAAUAUUAAGAGGAAAAAUAAAACCUUUAAAUGUGAUCAUUAACUGGCAUCCUACUUCUGAGAACCACUCUGAUAGGGAGACCUGAACCAAGUAGCUUGUGUUCCAGUAAUAACUAGUUGGAUCUGCCCAAACCGACAUAUCAGAUGGUUGUUGAAAGUUGGUUAUGAACCAUGUUCAGUUGGGAAGAAAAAUGGUAGCAAAAUUCCUCCAGUAUUUGCAGUAACUGCAAUAGAGAAAAAUAUCAAAAGUGGGUAGAAAAUGAUUGAAAAAAAUGUAGUAUUGACCAAAAGAGGGGAAAAAACUUCUGUGUCAUUUUUUUCCUAGUUCUUUAAGAAGAAGUAAAAAAAAAAAAAAGGUUGCUUAGGGACAGAUUGCAGACAGAAGACAUCAAAAUAUGUUAAAUAAAUUACGAACUGUGAAGUACUUGCUCAGCUUUAUUCAAUCUUCUACUGUAUAGGAAGGAGGCAGGAGAAUGCACUUCAUUCUUCUACCAGUUUACUUCUUCAAAAGAUUCAUUCAUACAGUGAAAUCUUUCUUCUGCUGGGGGAAUAAAGGGAGAGAGGAAGAGAAAUCUCUGGCCAGUACAUCAGGUUUUCCAUCUGAUUUGUUCCCAGUACAUGGGAACAACAUAGCAGAUUGCAUGUUGUGUUUACUAAAGAACAUACACUUGCAUUUAAAUCACUUACAGCUUCCUUUUUUAUGGUGCAAUUGUGAAUUAUGUUCUUUUUGCAUUUGUAAUUAGAGGGCAGAACAGAUGCGAAAGCUUAGUUUAAAGUGAUAUGUCCAUUAAAAUAACCUAGACUGCCGAGUAAUUGUUCACUGUAACGGGGGAAUAUGCCCAUUGUCAUAGUGUUUUUGUUCCAGUUCAAUAUAUUGAAGGGAUGCAAGUCCUCAACAAAUGUUGCUCGUGUUAAGAAAGUUCCUGAAACAGGGUGGUACUGGACCAGUUUUUGUUCGUUUUGGAGGAAAAAAAAUGGUGCCAACACCACCAUACCUUAUUCUGAUACAAAGCAUCAGACUGAGUUUAAAUUUGUGAAAAUUUCUCUGGUUUUUCAUAAGAAAGCUUUUGUUUUCCUCAGCAGACUUUUACUCACAAUGGCACUUAGGCUACAAAAUAUUUUAAACUAUUAACUGUUAGGCUUUUCAUUUUGAACCAAGACUAAACAAGGACUCAGAUUUUGAUCAAAGACAGCUGCCCCUUAAUCUGUAGUUAUGCUUGAUUGAGAUAGGCUCUGACAGCCAACAUAACAAUAGACAGACCAUUCUUUAACAUAUUAACCCUUGUGACCUAAUUAGCCAUCCAAAAAAUGCAAAUAGGAUCCUCAGCAACCUUUUUAACCAUUCGUGUCUCAAUGACAUUUGAUUUUCCUUUUGCAAUGUCAGUGCGCUUGUGUUAAAAUUUUAAAGAUGUUUAGCCUUUCUGCAGAACAGAUGCACGCAUUAAGUACUUGCACGGCUCUAAUUGAAAACCUCUGUCUUUAGCCACCAGUGCUCACAGCAACAUUUGCAAGCUCAAGGUUGAAGAUCUUGGCUAAACAGAAUGUUAACCAUCCCGACUACAUCGUUUACACAUUUGCUGAUGAUCAGUAAAUACAGUUGAAAUUGUAAACAGGGGAUGGGGGGUGGCAGUGAGGGAGCAGAAGGGAAAGAAGAGAGGAAGGAGGAAAGGAAAAGCUGAAAUCACGGUGCCCUAUUUACUUUUGCAAAGAAGUCUGUACUUCUCUGAGUAAUUUCAAAAAAAGCUUAAAAUGGAUAAUCCACAUGACACAACAGAAAAAUAGAACGAGAAUAAAUCCUUGCCAGUGAAUUGUUUUUUAACUGGCAUUACAUUAUUUGUGCAUGUUGACUGUAGUCUAUAUUCAGCAUCUCUUUCUCCCUCUUCCCCUUUGAAAACAAAGUCAUAAAAUCCACUGAAAGUUAACCCUGGUCUGUUCUGGUCAAGAAUAUUUAGAUCAGUAUUGGCAUGGGAAGGUUUACAGUAAUCCCCGUGUGGUUAAUUAUUACCCCUAAGUUAUUCUAGUGAUGUGCUCAUUUGCAAAUGCUGUUGCACCCCUUCCUGUUAUGUUUUGUAGUGACCCAUGGAGUGAAAGUACACAUUGGUUUGUUGGUUGUCUUUCUUUUUCGGCUUUUUUCCCUUUUUUUCUUUCUCUACCUCCACAUGGUGCCUCCCGCUGGCACUUUGGGCUACACGCUGUUCUUCCGUGAGCUGGGAAGUAAGCCCUCCAUCCAAGUAUGUCUGUUAUUUCUUUAUCGCAUAAGCUUAAAUAUAUCGUAAGCCUGUUCCUUUGGACUGGGUAACGGAGUAAUAUCACGAUGAGGAGUCGUGGGAUAAGAACCUGAUGUUCGCUCAGCAUGUGUUAGCUUAAAAUGCUCUGUCGCUGAAGUAAACAUAAAAAACCCUGCAGUCUAAAUUGUUGAUGUAACUGCUUUUUGGACUCUCAGAGACAUGUAUUUCCUAAAAUUUCAAGUGUAUGGAAAAGCAUACAUUAGUGCAAGCACAAAGCAUGACAAAACUUCCACUGGCAUUCACUGCAGAGACCAGCAGAUGAAGUCUUGUGAGAAGUACAGAAUAAAUCAAAACACGAUGAAUGUGCGUCCCACCCUCAAAAAAUCUCUAGAGACGCUUGUCUUUUCAUUCCCCUUUUGGUUUUUUGAGAAGGGAGGUCUCACUUGCUGACUUUUUUCCUGGCUAAAGUUUUACUUUUUGCUUUCCUUUUUAUAAACCAGAGGCUGAAAUUGCUGACACAAUUGUAUGAUUCAAAAGUACUGGGAUUUCAAGAGAAAUCCCAACUAUCUCAUCAUUGGCAAGAAACUCACAGGAGCAUCUUCAGCUGAAGACAUUUGUGAUUUUUGUCAUGAGACUUGUGACACACUCGAGUGUGUAUCUGCCCAAGAGUGGCCGCUGUGAUUGCAGUGUACCUGGGCUGGCUUUACUCGCGCUAUCUGGGGAUGCUCAGCAGGAGAUGAUCUGUCUCUUGCUGUCUGUAGGGUGGCUCUGCCUCCACACGGCUGCUGGUUUAAAACUAGCUUGGACCGUGGGCAGAACUCGACGUCUUUGUUGUGACUGCAGCGCAGACACAUAUUGUGUUUCUUCGCCUAGAAGAACAGAAGACAAAUGGGGAUUUGCAGCAAUCUGCAUUAAGAGGUUUAUUCACUGUAAGUGUUAAUGAUAACUGGAGGAAAAUAACGUGCCAGAGCGUGGUGGCAGCUUACGCUGUCAGAGAACACAUCUUAUCGCACCUCUGACCAACACAGCUGUGCUGUCAGAACAGGAUGGAGUUGGCCUUCGUAGGGAAAGCUAAUGAGAAAAGAAGGUAGCAACCAUUGGCAAACAGCACCAGAAAUGCUGAGCUCUUGCCUGAUUGUGACUGCGGUGUUGACAACCUAUGUCCCCCUUGCAAAGUUCUGCCCCUCUUUUGGAGGUCUGUCACAAGAACCUCUCAUCUUCUGGGCUGCCUGGACAUUUUUGACUGUUAUCCCAAGGAGUGAUUGCACCGGAUGUGUACGCUUUGACUUGUGCAGUUUGUGAGUUUAAUACAGUUCUUCCUGCAAAGGGAAAAACCACAAUGAAUCCUCUAGUGCACAGAAUGAGAGUGGGCUACGACAUUAAUUUUAAGACUGCAACAGGAUUAGGUAUAGUUCUGUAGCUUUGCCAGUGUUAGAAGAGCCAAAAUCUGCCAUGACUAAUUCACUGAUAAGUCUAUUGCCAUUUCUUCCCCCCCUCCUUUUUUUUUUUAAAUAGGCUGAGUGUGAUUUAAAAAAAAGAAAAAUAAUUUCUGCAGAAGUGUGCUGAGUCAACUCUCCUUGUAAGUUUCUUUUGCAAUUGAAGGCUCAGACUUAGCAAUGUUUUAUUUCUUAAGGUUUUGCUACCUCCAUGCCACAGCUACAAUUAGCAGUAGAGUCAACAAUAGAAAAGACAGCAGAGGAUGCAGGAGCACAAGGGUUGUGUGCAUCCUUGAGGGGAAAUACCCUGAGGAAAAUGGUCCCUCUGGAUAUAUUAAGCACUUCUCUUGAGGGUCCAUGAAGCGAGAAACAUUGCAGUGCAGCUCUGAGUCUGUAAAAGUUGAGUGCAACUUGAAUGGUGCUUUUGGAGGGAGAGAGGAGCAGGACAAGGCAGUAAUGAGAUGUAAUGGUUCAACUUCUGCCCAAAGUUACUGUCGGAGGUCAAUAGUACAUUCAGUCAGGGCAGUAAAUCACUCUCCAUUCGUGAUUUUAGAUAGUGUAGGAAACAAAUGGAAACAUUCUCCCUGCUCUGGUGGCUUGUGAAAAAUGUCAGGGCUCAAUGUCAUCUCCAUCACACGGUGAAACUGCUUCUGCUGUCCAUGCCCAGGAGGCACAGUCCUCCUUCAGGAGCCAGUCCAGAGCCCACAGAGCCACUGCAGCUCUGCAGAACAUGUGUGUCCUGCAGGGUGGGCCAGACCUCACACACCUGGCAAGACGCCAUAGCUUGCAGGAGAAAGAGGAGUUGCUAACAGCCCCCUUGUGAUGAGUUUGUGGGCCUGAAUAACUCACCCGUGGGUGCUGCUGCUGUUAGAAGGGGAAGCGAAAGUUUGUGGGGAGUUGGCUGGUAGGAUUUGGUUUCCAGCAACAGGAAGGGCAGCAGUACAGAAGCUGCUCCUUGGGUGGGUGAGAUGCCUUUUCCCCUCUCUUCACAUUGGGGAAAUGGAGCUGUGCUCUUCCCCUUUGCCAGUGGGAGCUGAUGGGCAACUGAGCCUUGGGGCCACCGGACAGCAGGGAGGCUGCUGGUGCAAAGCAGCCCGCGAUCCCUCUGCAGAAGAUGACAGAUUGGCUUCCCA